GUGCCAGCCGCCGCGGUAAUACCGGCAGCUCGAGUGAUGGCCGAUCUUAUUGGGCCUAAAGCGUCCGUAGCUGGCCUCGAAAGUCCGUCGGGAAAUCCAUCAGCCCAACUGAUGGGCGUCCGGCGGAAACUCCGAGGCUUGGGACCGGAAGGCUCGAAGGGUACGUUCGGGGUAGGAGUGAAAUCCCAUAAUCCCGCACGGACCACCGAUGGCGAAAGCACUUCGAGAAAACGGAUCCGACAGUGAGGGACGAAAGCCAGGGUCUCCAACCGGAUUAGAAACCCCUGUAGUCC
rnacentral:rRNA from 1 species